ensembl:lncRNA
CAGCUUUUCACUUCACAAGACACUAAUUGAUUGAGCCAUUGGUGAGCAAGUGAUAUAAUGCUAAAUUUCUCCAAAUGUGUUCUGAUGAUGAAACAAACUUAUCUACGUAUUGGAUGACUCGAGGGAGAUUACAUUUUUUGGGUGAAAUAUUCCUUUAAGAAUAGGAUUAUUUUACAUUGUAAGAGUGGGGGCAAAACAUCUUCUAAAGACAACACUGCACAUACAUAAUCAGGUGUUCCCCUGAUGAGGGCAUGUAUGGUAUCUAAUCACUGGACCCUGUUUUGAGAAAUGAGACACGCUGGUGCUCAACGGGACUGUGAUGUCUGGGCAAAUACAACAGCUCAGACUGUCUCUCCCAGCUUUCCAGAGUGUGUGUGGGAAUGCGGGUAUGUGCGAAUGAUCACAGACGUGGUCGCUGAUACGCCUUGACAGUGUUUUGGCAGAACAGUUCUGCCAUGAGCAAACACAUUGAGCUUCAAAUGCGGGGGUCUUUGUGCUCUCCACAGGGCCGUUCCUCACUUUUUGUGUUAGCUAGUGCUACAGGCUGUUCAGGCCUGUCUAGUUGUGCACUCAUCAGCAGAUCAAGCUCAUGCUAUCGCCCCAGCUUCUUUCAGUCCUGUCUCUGUUUUUCUCAUCUGUUUCAGGCUUCCAGUUGAUUCACAAAACUCUCACCCACUGGUCACAGCUUCGCCAACACGAGCGGCCCAAUAGCCGGAGGCCCAGUGGCCCUGCGGUAUUUCCGCCCUCUUUGGUCCCAGUCCAAUGUGAAGACACUGUAUGUUUGUUUUGGUUUAUUAAGAUAUAUAUAGAUAUGUAAAUAAAAUAUCUGCUUAAACACUUGCAAAUUUUAGAUAAUGUUUGAAACUCUGCAGAUUUCAGUUCAGUGUCAGGAUGACCAAUUCGGGUUGGAUGCUGAAGUGGUUUAUGAUGAAAAAAUUUUUCCCUUACGAAGGUGCAAUCCAUUUGUGACUGAGUCAUAUCACAGGUAAACCUACUGAAAUGUAUCAGACACAUGUUGUAUUAUACAGACAUUUGGUUUUUAGCCUUUUGAAUGAGUUAUUAGUAAUUAGUUGAAUUAGCUAAAUUAGUUAUUUCCCUCAAAAUGAUUUGUAGGGGACGAGUUCCUGGGCAGAAUCAGGAUACUGGUAGGUACAUUUAUUAAAUAUUCUGCUUAAAAAGGGUUCGUUCACCCAAAAAUGAAAGUUUUGGCAUUAUUUACUCAACAGUGUUGUUCUAAUGUUGUGUCAAGACUUGAUAACAAAAAGGCUAUUUUCUUCAUGUAGGUGUGUCUCCAGGAUUCAUAGCACCUGAUGGCAUGGGCGGCAAUGGCCAAGAGCUGAUGAACAGAGAUGAACGCUAUAAAAAAGAGAAGCGUGUGCAUCCAAAGGGAAAGAAGAAAAAGGUUAAGAGAGGCGAGAACACAGCUUCACCAUUAAAGAGGAAAAUCAUCCAGUCAGCAUCUGACAGUAACAAAAUGUGAUUUGAUUAAUAAGAUAAAUAACACCUAUUUUCUUGUUUAAAGUGAUAGUUCACCCAAAAAUUCUGUCAUUAAUUACUCACCCUCAUGUUGUUUCAAACCCGUAAGACCUUUGUUCACCUUUGGGACACAAACUAAGUUAUUUUUGAUGAAAUGCGAGAGCUGUCUGACCCUGAAUAGACAGCAACAGAACUAUCACGUUCAAGCCCAGAAAGGUAGUAAGAAGAAUCAUUAAAAUAGUCCAUGUGGCAUCAGUGAUGGACAGCGUUGCUGUCUAUGCAGGGUCAGAAAGCUCUCGGAUUUUAUCGAUAGCUUAGUUUGUGUUCUGAAGAUGAAUGAAGGUCUUACAGGUUUGGAACGACACAAGGGUAAUUAAUUACAGAAUUUUCAUUUUUGGGUGAACUGUCCCUUUAACGUAGCAUACACACUGCUUUUCUAUAAGCUUAAGCAGCACUUAAAAGCUUUAUAAACUUUGAAUCUAUAACUCUAACUUUCUGUACUCUUUAAAUAUAUUCUUUCAAAAGGACAAUAAAAGCUGUCAUUCAUUAUCGUAAAUGGAAAAG